rnacentral:rRNA from 1 species
GAGUCGAGAGCUUUCGGAGCUCGGCAUACUGCUCAGUAACACGUGGGUAACCUGCCCUGUGCUGGGGGAUAACCUCGGGAAACUGAGAACAAUACCCCAUAGUCCACUACGCCUGGAACGGUGAGUGGAUGAAAGCCCCGGCGGCACAGGAUGGGCCUGCGGCGUAUCAGGUAGUAGGGGGUGUAAAGUACCCUCUAGCCUUCGACGCGUACGGGUUGUGAGAGCAAUAGCCCGGAGAUGGAUUCUGAGACACGAAUCCAGGUCCUACGGGACGCAGCAGUCGCGAAACCUUGACAAUGCGGGAAACCGUGAUCAGGGGACUCCAAGUGCCAGGAGUAAGAUCCUGUGCUUUUCUUCUCUCUUCAAAGGAUUAGGAAUAAGAGGUGGGUAAGGACGGUGCCAGCCGCCGCGGUAAUACCGGCGCCUCGAGUGGUAGUCGAUUUUAUUGGGCCUAAAACGUCCGUCGCCGGUCUGGUGCAUUCGUGGGUAAAUCAACCCGCUCAACGGGUUGAAUUCUGCGAGCACGGCCAGACUAGGGACCGGGAGAGGUGUGGGGUACGCUCGGGGUAGGGGUAAAAUCCUGUCAUCCCGAGCGGACCACCUGUUGCGAAGGCGCCACACUAGAACGGAUCCGACGGUCAGGGACGAAGCCUAGGGGCACGAACCGGAUUAGAUACCCGGGUAGUCCU